rnacentral:lncRNA from 1 species
CUCAGCUUCGCUCAACUAGUUAAGCGCAAAAAUCUCGUGAUGGCGGUCAUUCUCCUUCGAGGGAAAUCGACCCUUAUCCGUAUCAAUCGCCACAUUUAUCAUGAGAGUUUUGUAACGACUUUUAAAACUCUCUGUGCCAUUUUCUUCACUUGUAGAAUCUCAUCAUUAUUUAUUGAAACUUUCGUUUGUACACAAUAGUAAUAGCUUAUUGUCUUGUCGACUAAAUGCGUAGAUUUCUUUUUCGUGGGAAGCUGGUCUGGCUGACUCCAUGUUGGCAUGCCAAGAUACGUGGUAUCCAAUCUGAAGACAACUUGGACAAUAUUUGCUGACGAAAAUGGUAAUGCUUUCGAAAUUUACACACCUUAAAAUUAUAUAUGUAUAUACACAUGUACAGACAUGUAUAGACGUGUAUAUAUGUAUAUAUAUAUAUAUAAUCUAUUAUAUAAACAAAUACGUAUAUAUUUGUACACAGAUACAUUUAUAAACCUAUUUACAUCUCUAUUACAUAUAUAUAUAAAUAGGAUAUAUAUGUAUAUUAUAUAUAUAUAUAUAUAAUAUACAUUAUAUAAUAAUGUAUACAAUAUACUAGUAGCAUAUCUAUAAUAUCAAUUUUAAUUUUAAAUAUCGAAAGAAAAUUUUGUAAUGAUUUUAUAUACACCGAAUGAGAGAUGUUCUUAAAUUUUGGGGUUCGAAAUUUAACAUAAUGGUGUUGGUAUUUUAUAUUUAUUUACCAACAGAAGAAACUGCAAUAAGUUUGGUUAUUUUUAAUAACAAUUGAUCGAUUCAAGCCUACGUGGAUGUUAUACGUAGUCGUUCAACACGCUAGAAAUAGCGGCGAAAUUUCAACCACGUCCCCUCCACAGACACACGCAGUCUUUAUAAAAAAAAAGGACGUAUUAGAUAAUGCAGUUUAGUGCGUGCUAUUCUUGAACAUGACAAGGGAGGGUCAUGGCUUGAAUGUCUUUGAUCAUAACGUCUGCUACGCUAGAGAACGGCCGUCGUCCUCACCUGUCUCUAGAAAGAUCACGUGAGUGUAUGUAGCGCCAAAAUGAAAAUUAAUCUCCCUUAUUUUCUUUACAAUUGUUGCAAUAUUUAACCACUGUGUUGCGCAGUCGACAUAUUUUUAUCCGUUACCAUUGCUUUAUUCUCUCUCUAUCCAAGUAUCUUAUUUAAAAUAAUAAUAAAAGAUACUAUGCGUUUUUCUUCAUUAGAGAAAGAAAAAAAAUAAACAUUUUUCUUUUGAAAAUGAAUAACUAUCUUGAUUAUUUACUUUAUUUCAUGCCUUAUUUUUAGUGACUAAGCUAUCUUUCACCUCUUUCUCUGCAAGUAUCUUAUUUAAAAUAACAAUAAAAAGAUACUAUGCAUUUUUCUUCAUGAGGGAGAAAAAAUAUUUUUCCUUCUAAAAUGAAAUAACAGUUUUUUCGAUUAUUUACUUGAUUUUAUUCAUUUUUUUUAUAGUGAGGAUAAACAUCCUUCACCUCCUUUUCACUCAUGUCUAAUGAGCAGUUAGGAAAUUUUUGAAAUAUAUUGUUCUAGCAUAAUAUCGAAUGUAUUCUUGAGCUGAUUUCACUUUAUAAAAUAUAUUAUGAGUAUUAUAAAGUAACAGUUUUGAAUAAGAAUAAUAAUAAAGGCAACCGUUGUUUAUCUAAUAUAACAGAGAACACAAACCUGCGUAAUUAGAAAACAUAUUUAGAAAUAAAAUGAUUUUACGCUUUAAUAUGAGGUGGGAAAAAUUCAAUUUUCUGCCAGAAUCAAUUAAUAUUACAAAUGCUUAAUUUUUAUUUGAGUAGGCAUCUGUUAUUUCCAGUAAAAAUUUAAGUCCAUAACUAUAUAAUAGGUACCUAUAUAAUAUAGCUUAUAAGUUAUAAGAAACGUUAAUGUCUGAUAAAACUAACUAUAUGUUGAUUACUAAUGCAGUCCUGGCGGGAAAAAAAUGGUGUGAAAUCACAAGGUACGCAAUUAUAUAAAAUGUGAUAUAAGUGUGUUAACUGCAGCUUUAAGGUUAUUGAAAAACAUUUGCUAUAGAUGGAACUCAGUUUGAAUCUCCCCCUACCCUCAAUUCCAUCACUAUCCUAAAUUCAUGAUAUUCAACCCAUAUACGGUGCUAUAGUAAUAGUUCGUUUACACAACUAUUGUAACGCUGAAGAUAAAAUUUAUUGGACACUAUUAUUUCACUGAUGGUUACCAAUAAUAAAUUAUUGAAAGAUAUUUACUUUUUAUUUUAGUUUUUACUUUCUUUAACUCCAUAGGACGGGAAAAGCACAUUGCUUAUUUGUUUAAUUUUUUCAUAUUUUUUUUGUAUUUUCAUCCACGUGUUUUGCUUACAUGGGAGCUUUGGGAUAUAUCACUGAUUCUUAAUAUUAAUUAAUAACAUAAUUAUCUCGAUACUGAAUUCUGAUUACUGUUAUAUCGUAAAUAGAAUGAACACUGUUAAUUUAUGGAUAGGAGAAUCAAGUUUUAAAACUAUGCUUUAAACACAUUUUAUUAAUAUCAAUAGCAGUCGUCAUCCUUGCUUACUGUAAUUGUGCAUAUCUGACAUGAAGAUCGCCAAUAAUUCCGUAACUGGUUGCCAUCAACUAGUAUUAACAAUUUACUUUAUUAUUCAGUUUUGUAAAUUUACUUCAAAUGGAAUUCAUAUAAAUUCGAAACCAUCACAUUGAGAAAAACUUGAUUUUUAGUAAAAUCUGCUAAGGUAGUUGGUAUUGAGUACAUGAACCUUUCGUGAUAAAUGACGAAUAGGCCAUGUUCUAACGUUCUAUUGACGAAUGACUAGAGAAAAAUACCCAAGGAUACCUGCUUCAUGAAUAAUUAAUAGUAAAGUAGGCGCUAACAUACUUUAAUGCAGUGAGCUAAGAAAAUAUAAUUAAUUAAAAUUACACAAUGAUGAGCUGGAAAUAAAUCAUGGUUUUAAUUACUAUUUCUGUUGAUGAAAGACGAAGGACAAUUCAGGAAUUUAAUUUUAAAGAAUUCAGUGAGUUUGAACAUAUGGUGACAACUCUGCACAUGUUUCGUUAUUAGACCUCAUCAGCAAAUCAGUCUAUUACUCCCGAAUUUCAGGAGUAGACAAGGUACGAUAUUUUGGCUUAUGAGAAUUUAGUGGUAUAAUUUACUUAAAAGAAUAAACUCGUGGGGGAAGAGCCAUGAACUCAUGCUGCAUGAAACAUUACAAAUUAUGUUAAUGUAUUUAAUGCAAGUGUCAGAAGUAUAAAUAUUUUUGUACGUGCUGUUGAAAAACUGAUUGUGCUAUGCUUAUGUAGAGUAUUGGAAAUUUGACCAAAACAGUUAAAAUGAUUUUAUCAGCAUUCUCUACUGGUUCAUAAAUUAGUUUAGCGACAGGCCAUGAUCAACCAUAAUAAACUGUACAUACGAUGUGAGGCUUCAUCUUUGAUGGCAAAAAUAAUUGGAUGAAUGUUACAUAUACAGAAGUGAAAACAGUCUUCUACAAAGGUUGUGGUAUGGCUUAUAUACAUAUAUAUACAGUAGAACCUUGGUCUUUGAACAACUCUGAUCAUGAAUAAGUCAUGCUUUAUGUAUAUAUAUAUAUAUCUAUAUAUAUGUAUGUAUGUAUAAAGCAUGAUUUAUUCAUGAUCAGAGUUGUUCAAAAACCGAGGUACUACUGUGUAUGUAUAUAUAUAUAUAUAUAUAUGUAUGCAUCUGUAAAAUGCAAGUGGGUUUGCAUGAUGUGUGUACGAACUCCAAGUAAAUCUAGUUUGUAUAUUUUUUUUUGUGCAAGUGAGUCUGUAAAAUGUUCUGUGUAUUCAAUUGGUUUUGCAAUCCUAGUUGCUACUAUGCAUUCUCACUGAGUAACUAAGUUGGGAAAUGAAAUAGUCUGUUGUAGAGUUCUGCAGUGAUAAAACUAGUUACAAAAGGUGAUGAACUUGCUAAUGAUUUGAAGUUCACAAGUGUUCUAAGUGUGAGCUCAUGGCACUCCCUGUUAGAGUGGUAUAACUGUUGAGCUGGUCACUGUUCUACAUGACAGAUUUCAGAAAUUAGUUUUAGUAGUUGAUGAUAUAGGCUCAUUUGAUACCAGUUUGUGAAAGAAAUAGCAUACCAGUUGUUUGUUCUGAAAAGUGAUCGAUAUAAGAAACUUGCUGCUGCUGGUCUUUAUACAGUAGGCAUAUUAGUGACUGAACUAGAAAAUAGUGAGGUAAUUUGAUACUGACUCAAGUUGUUCUGGAGGUAGACUUAAUUGGUGACAAAACCAAACUAAAUCUGGAUUUACAUCAUAUCAGUGUGUGCUACAAAUAUACCUUUGUGAGGUAUUCACUAUAGUUUCUAAUAGCUUCUAAAAGUUGAGUAAAAUCUUUAUUCAAUAGUUUUAGGGGGUCUUUUCCAAAUAAUAUAAUCCUUUACAAUAUUAAUUGCACCACUUAGUGAAAAUUGUCAUCCAUAUUUUAUGGGUUGUUGUAUGAAAAUUAGACUCCCAUUUGAAAAGGAAAUUCAAUUCAAGAAGACUACAGUUUUACCUCUUAUAAAUGAGCAGAUUUUUCUUCAAAGAGAAAUAUUGUCACUUUAAAGUGAGAUUGAUGACUGCAAGAGGAUACUUUGUCAAUUCAGUGGAAGAAAUUUUGAAAAGUGAAAUGUACUCACUUUGAAAUCAUCAAUCUCAUUUUAAAGUGAUGUAUUCCUUUAGAAUUAGUUCUCUUAAUGAUAAACCACAAGCUGGAAGACCAAAUGAUACAGUUGUGAUGUCUAGGAAUGUUACAAAAAGCCCAUAAAUUUCAGUGAAAUGGGUAUUAUUGCAAGUUUGUAAAUGGGGGUUGGGAAUGUACAUCUGAUGUAGUUUCCUGUCUUGUUGUUAUUAAUCCUUUAGCAUUCAGAUUAUCUGUCAAAAAUGUAAUGCUUAAAUACUCACACUGCUUUUAAUUAAUCUGGCCUGAUCUUCCAGUUUCAAUGUUUUUAUGAUGUGAUUAUUAAUUUUUAAAAUGACAUUGUAGGAUAGAUGUGAGAGGCUGGAUCUAGCCAGUUUGAACAUUUGGGUUAGAUAUGUCAGUUCAAAUGCUAAAGGGUUAAACUAAUCUUUUCAGUUUUGAGUUCAAAUUUGACCUUAUAUCCUUUUGGGAUAUGUAAAAUAAGUUCCAGGCUCCAGUUAUAUGUAUUAAAUCAGCUAUAUGACUCCUCUAAAUCUCUCUUUUUUUUUCAAUGUGGUAGAGUCAAAAUAGGAUGGGUAGUACUUAUGACCUUUUUCAGGACCUGAGAUUAAUGGGUGUAUGUUAUUUUUGCUAUGGAGAGCUGACUUGAAUACUUGAAGAUAAGUAGGCUCCAGAAAAGGUACCAAGGGCUAGAUGAUGGUGUUAAACUGGAUGAUAGGUCUUGUUUAUCUCCCCAGAACAGAAAUGGUUCCUCCAGUGUUCUUCCAUAGUUUCUGUCUGCUGUACUACAUGAUGUCAUCAUCAUCAUCAUUUAACACCCACUUUUCUAUGCUUGCAUGGGUUGGACGGAGCUUAUUGAGGCAAAUUUUCUACAACCCAAUGCCCUUCUUGUUUCCAAGCAAGGUGAUAUUUCCCUGUGACCAGACAUACUUUUGCAGAAUAUUGGAAAUGAAGGACCCUACUUGUAUGACACUAACAAUCAUUUGCAUCUGUUAUACAAUGUCAUGGUGACGAGACACAAACACACACACAUAUACGAAGGACUUCUUUCAGUUUCCUUUUACAAGGCUUAGGUGAACCCAGAACUACAUGGCUGGAAAUCCAAAAUCAAAAUUUUUGCCACAAAGCUAUGCUAGCACUUGUAUUUAUAUAUACUGUAGUCCAAUAUGGUAUUUGAGAGUGAAAUACUGUCAGUGCACCAGUAAUUUAUAACAAUAUGCAGACCAACAUAUAUAUACCAGUUGAUUUCCCCAAUUUAUUUAAACCCUAAGUAACAGGAAGUUUAAAGGCAGUAUCCCGUAUACAGUUAAAGUGUGCUUAGUUACUGAGAAAAUCCCAACAUAGAAUUUGAUAUUAGCAAAGCUGAUUCCUCUUUAUCUGUCCUUGAAGAUAUAUAUAAAGUAUAUAAAGGCAAAGUGGUUAUAUCUGGCUUUAUAUAUUAAAAAAAAAAUCUAUAGAUGCAUUCUUUAGAACAGUAUAGCACUGAAGCAAAACAAGAGUUAAUGAAAUUUCACUUAUGAGACUUUGGUCAACCCAAGUUUAUAGUUGCACAUUACCAUGUAGUUGGAAGUAAAUUUCUUAAUCACAGAGUCAUACCUGGACCUAUCUCUUUGUGACUGAGAAAUCUAUAUUAAUGCAAUUAGAAGGCAGCAAGCUGGCAGAAUUGUUAGUACAUCAGGAAAAAUGCCUAGCAGCAUUUCUGUCUACAUUCAUCAUCAUCAUUUAACGUCCGUUGUCCAUGCUAGCAUGGGUUGGACGAUUUGACCAGGGCUGGUAAGUUGGAAGGCUGCACCAGGCCCCAAUUUGAUUUGGCAUGGUUUUUCUUAGGCUAGAUGCCUUCCUAAUGCCAACCACUCUGAGAGUGUAAUGGGUGCUUUUACAUGCCACUGACACAAGUCCCAUUUGCAUGGCACCAGUAUCUGCCACGGCUGUGAUUUUGCUAGGCUUGAUGGGUUUUCUCAAAUACGACAAUGCCUAAGGUCUCAGUUGUUGCCUCUGUGAAACCCAACGUUCAAAAGGAGCUCAGUCACUUUGCCUCUGCUGAGUUCAAAUGCUGCUGGGGUUGAUUUUGCCAUUCAUCCUUUUGGGGUCAAUAAAAUAAGUACCAGUUGAGCACUGGGAUCAAUGUAAUCAACUUAGCCCCUUCUUUGAAACUUGGCUUUGUGUCAAAAUUUGAAACCAAUAUUGAUGCCAUUAAAAUCUAAAGUUAUUGUUGAUUCAGGUUUCUCAAAAAAAAAAAUGAAAAACUAACAAUACUAAUGAAAUUUUAAUAGCAACUCAACUCUAAAAUUGGCUUCAAAUUUUGGCACAAGGCCAGCAAUUCUGGGGAGGGGAUAAGUCAAUUACAUCAACCCAGUGUUCAACUGAUAAUUAUUUUAUUGACCCUAGUGCUCAACUGAUACUUAUUUUAUCAACCUCAAAAGCUCAAAUGGAUGAAAGGCAAAGUCAACCUCAUUGGUAUUUGAACUCAUAAUGUAAAGACAGACAAAAUGCUGUGAGGCGUGCUAACAAUUCUGCUAGUUCACUGCCUUAACGCAACUUUAAAAUUAAUAUAUAUAUAAUAUUUUCCAUUCUUUUCUCCCUAGGAGGGCCUAGCCCAUAAACUAAGAAAGCUUUAGAAUUUGGUUGCAAGUUCCCUUUGUGAAAUAUAUUCUGCUAAUGGUACAGCUGUUUCACUGCAAAACAAUUCACCGCAAACUUUAAAUCAGAGUAAUAAAAUAUUGACAUAACAAGUUCUCAUUACAAAUGAAUGAAACUGAUUAAAGCCAUUUUAGUGUAUAAAUAGCAAAUAUUUGAAGACUAACCUUUCUUAAAAGUUCUUGCUUAUAUUUCUUCAACCAGUAUUAUAUAUCGUUUAUUCAUUUAACAUCUGUUUUAUAUGCUGCAUGCCUUAGACAGAAGAAAACUGAGGCAGUUUUCUUCUGUCUAAGAAGAAUGCACAUCUGCUGCCAACCAUUAGCUAUUUUGUAAAGUAAGGAUUAUUUAUCCCAUAGGAAAUCAAAAACACAGAGCUAGUAGAUAAUUCAUUGUCAGAAAAUAUCAACAAACUCGACCAGUAUUUCAGCAUAGUUUUGUGACCAUUCACACAGACAAACAUGCGCACGCAUGCAUGAAACAGGCUUUUUUCAGAAAUGUGUACUGAUGGCACACUUUCAUUUAGUGGUUCUGAGAAGAAAAAGGUAUGAAAAGCUAUUAAUUGUAGAGAAUGCAUGGGAGUAAGAAGGUUUUUCUCAAUGUGUACCUAGUGGUACUGGCUAUUUUGGCAGUAUGAUAGAUAAAGCAAUUUCCAAUUAAAGAUAUGGAGGCAGGGACAGCACCUAAACCAUUAGAAGUCACUGUUGAGAGGCAACAUAAAAUAUGGUCAAGUUAUCUAUAUAGCCAAUCAGAUUGUACAAGGGCUGACUGAAAAGUUCUUAUGCUGACCAAGAUAUUCUCAUGGAAUAACAUAGUUCCCUUUGCAGUCGACACAUUUCUUCCAUUGGUUUUGUAGUGCUUGGAUUCCAUUGUAAAGAAGCAUUCAUUCUGUUGGUCAGAAGAGUUAUCAGCAGAUGUGAUGUCCUCAUCACUGUGAUACUGGUUCUCAAUCAAGUGAUUUUUCAUGUUGGAGAACAGAUGAUUGCCAGAUGGGGUCAUUGAAAUGUAGGAUUUGUGUGCUGGAGCAUUGUCUUGAUGAAAUGAAAUCCCUUUUGUCAGUUUUCCUAGGUGUUUGGUCUUGAUAGCCUUUCAUAACUAUCUCAGCAAAUUGGCAUAAUACUCUCCAUUGAUGGUGUGGCCCUUUGAGAAUAGUCAGUUAACACAAUACCUUUUGUAUUCAAAAAACUGAGGCCAUCACCCUCCCUGCAGAUUGGCCUUCUUUGCAGCAGAUGAGGAGGGAUGUUUCUACUACAUCAGUUGGCCCUUUUUCUUUGACUCAAAGCGAUGAAAUCAGCACUCAUCCUGAGUUAGGAAAUGUUCAAGGAAACCAGUUGGAUUUGCUUUAAACAAUGUCAGAUUUUGCCAUGAUGUUACCAGCCUGGGGCAUUAUUUAACCAGGUGUCAGAAGGUAAACCUUCAUCAUGCCAAGUUCAUUGUGCAGAAUAUUCUCAACUCUCAUGAGAUACGCUAAUAACAUUGACUGUUUGAAUUACAGUCAAUUACCUAUCAUCCACCACCUUGUGAUGAAUACAAUCAGUGUUUUCCUCAGUGGUGGCAGUUGUUGGACAUUCAGAACCUAGGUCAUCUUCAAGAUUCUGUUCCCCUCCAAAUUUUCAUCUGCACACUUUUGCACUGUUGAUAAAGCUGGAACAUCAUCCCCUAAUGUAGCAACCAUGUCAGUAUGAAUGUCCUUGGAGGCUAAACCUUUUUUCUGCUGGUACUUGAUAAUAUCAUGAUGUCAAAUUUUGUCCCUUUUCAAGAGGAGUCACUACUAGUGACAUUUGAAGUCUUCUUUGAAGAGUCAGAUGUCAGUUUACCUGGAAAGAAACCAUGCAGUUAUCAAGACGAGUUGAAAUGAAUGCAUGCAAGAUUUCACAGCUCUAGCAUCACUCCUUCAUAGUCAGCCUAUGGACUUUUUAGCCCACCCCUAUACAGGAUGGUAUCAUAUUCAAUGAUUGGAGAAGCAUGACCAUAGUCAAUUGGUGCAAAGGUAAAGACAUGCCUUAGAGAAAGAGAGAGAGGGUUUGGGGGUGGAGAGUAAUUAUAGUGGUAUAAAAUUACUGGACAAGGUCAUGAAAAUUACAGAAAGCUUUAUAGCUUAAUUAGUUAGGAAGAGAAUUAUUGUAAAUGAGAUACAAUUCUGUUUCAUGCUUAGAUGAGAUGUAGUUUGGUAUUGUGCCAGAGGGAAGUACUACUGAUGCCCCCUUCCUGUUGAGGUUACUGCAGCAGAAGUACUUAGCUAAAAGUAAAUCACAGUACUUAGCAUUUGUUGACAUGGAGCAAACCUUUGACAGGGUUCUUUGCUCUAUGUUCUGGUGGUCAUUGAGGAAGUUAGAAACAGAUAAAAUGGCUUGUGAAAGCCAUAUAAAAAGUGCUAUCUGUGAGGUGAGAGUUUGCCCAGAGUUUAUCAAUGAAUUUAGUUUACAAAUGGGGAAUCACCCUGGUAAAAUCCUACCUGCAUUCUAAAUUCCCCAAUUCAUCACAGUCCUCCUGGCCCUAACAGAAAUUUUCAGACCAGAGCCCAUUGUAACUGCUAUAUGCUGAUGACCUUGUUUUUAAAACUGAAUCUUGAGUAGAAUUAGAAAAGAAAUUCUAGGUGUGGAAGCAAGACCUGGAAUCAAAGUUAACUUAGCAAAGACCAUAGUUUCAAUAAGUAGAGAAACAGACAAUGCUCUACUUCCAUCAGAGAGAAAUUCCAUACAGUGUACCUAGUACAAACAAUGGAUACAUAAGCAGGAUAGUGCUAUCAUAGGCAGGUUAACAGCGCAAGUAGACUUUGUUUUUGGCCAAUGUGCAGGAGCAAUAACCAUUGAGAAGGAGAUGGAAAAUGGUUUUUUUCUUCAAAUGCUCAGGAAGAUCCCUAGGGGUGGUAGAUAGCUUUUGGUACCAAUUUAACUAAAUCAGCAGUGGAGGAGGAUAUUAAAAGUAUCAUAGCUAGGGUAAGAAAAAGAUACAGAAAGUUCAAAGAAAUUUAACCCUUUAGCAUUCAGAUUAUUUUGUCAAAUGAAAUGCUUAUUUAGUCACUAUUUUGAAUUAAUCAUGCUUUGAGAUUUUGAUGAUGUGAUUGUUAAUUUCUAGAAUGACAUUGUAGGGCAGGUGUGAGAAGAUGGAUCUGGCCAGUGUCAACAUAAAACAAUAUUUUGGCUAGAUAUGACCAGUUUAAAUGCUAAAGGGUUAAUGUCUGUUGGUAACAAAAGAAAGGCAGAUUGUAUGAUGUUUAUGUAUUGAUUGCAAUGCUACAAAGUAGAAAGACAUGGGCUCUGAAUGCAGAGGUCAGGUAAAGAAUUUUUAAAAUUUAAGCUAGCAUACACUGCUGUAUGUUAAACUGUGUAUGGAAGAUGAAGUACAGAUAUAUUGAGGAAGGAAUCAUGGAGUGUGCAAGAGAAAAUUACACUAAUGUGAAUAUGCACAUGGAUAAGGACAGCUGUAUAAGGAAGUGUUGAUCUCUUAAUGUGGAUGAAGCUAGUGGCAGAGGGAAACCCAGCAAAAUAUGACAAUGAAAAGUAAGGGCUGAAUCAGAUUUUUGAGCCUCACAGAGAUGACAAAAGAUCAAGAUGACUGGUGAUAUACAAUGUUCGAGAAGAUCUGUUCAUCAUUGGCAGGGUUGCUUGUUUAGUCACUGAUGGCCUGACCAUAUGACAAGUUGUACUGGAUUUCAUGUUACUAGUAGCACUAAUAGUGACUUGACACUCACACAAGAAUUUUGGUUGAAAGCAAUAAUGGUUUGAACAAAAAAAAUGGCAUUACUAACACCUUGUAUGCACAGGACUAAAUAUCUUUUAUGUAAAUAUCAGCUUCCUUGACUUUCAUCCCAAUUUGUAGAGAGAAAAAAAUGGUUUUGAAAUGUGUGUGUGUGUAUGUAUGCAUAGGAGUGACUGUGUGGUAAAAGAGCUUGCUUCCCAACUACAUGGUUCUGGGUUCAGUCCCACUGUAUGGCACCUUGAGCAAAUGUCUUCUAUAACCUCAGGCUGACCAUAGCUUUGUGAGUGGAUUUGGUGGAUGGAAACUGAAAGCAACCUGAUGCGUAUGUAAUAUGUAUAUAUAUAUAUAUUUAUGUAUGUGUCUGUGUUUGUCCCCCACCACUGCUCGACAACUGUUGUUGGUGUGUUUACAUCCCCAUAACUUAGUGGUUCACCAAAAACGACCACUAGAAUAAGUACCAGGUUUAAAAGAAUGUACUGGGGUUAAUUCAUUCAACUAAAGUCCUUUAAGGCAGUGCCCUAGCAUGGCUGCAGUCUAAUGAGUGAAACACAUAAAAGAAUGUCUGUGUGUAUGUAUGUAUAUAUAUAUUUAUAUAUAUAUUUCUAUCGUCUGUCUGGAUGUUUUGUUGUCCCUUUUUGUAUUACCUAGCUGUCCGGAUGUUUUGCGUUCUUGUUCCAUUUUGUAUUUUAUAUAUAUACUCUUCUACUUGUUUCAGUCAUUUGACUGAGGCCAUGCUGGAGCACCGCCUUUAGUUGAUCGAGCAAAUCGACCCCAGGACUUAUUCUUUGUAAGCCUAGUACUUAUUCUAUUGGUCUCUUUUGCCGAACCGCUAAGUUACGGGGAUGUAAACACACCAGCAUCGGUUGUCAAGCGAUGUUGGGGGACAAACACAGACACACACACACACACAUAUACGACGGGCUUCUUUCAGUUUCCGUCUGCCAAAUCCACUCACAAGGCUUUGGUUGACCCGAAGCUAUAGUAGAAGACACUUGCCCAAGGUGCCAUGCAGUGGGACUGAACCUGGAACCUUGUGGUUGGUAAGCAAGCUACUUACCACACAGCCACUCCUACGCCUAUAUAUAUAUAUAGUGGCGUAUGUACACUUUGUUCUUAUAUAUGUUAGUACACAUUUUUCAAAAUCUUGUACGACUCUAUUUCUACCAGCCCUUCCACGCUUAUUCGUUCAUUCCACUCUUCAUUCCCCUUCUCUCACAUUUCUUUGCCUUCUCUUCUUACUCACUUUCCCUCCACUUUUCACUUCACUGUGUCCCUGUCAUUUUUUCUUGCCCCCUCCUUAAUUCUUCUGUCCCUCUGCUUCUACUUCUCUCCCCAUGUAACUGAUCAGCCAAGCCUGCUCUUUCUUUCUUCAUCUGACUGUUGUCCGUGCAACAUUGAUAUUCUUACCUAUGUUUGUGAAAUGUUUGUAUCUCUGCCAUAAGGCUUCAUUUCCUCAUGCGCCAGCUUAAUUCAAUUCGUCCUUAGUCGGAAGACAUCUGUUGUUAUGUCCUGUUAUUAUUUUUAUUGUAUUUGUAUUUGUGUAACAUUGUCCAUUUUUUCUGUCCUUGAUUUUAUAUACAUUCGCUGCUUUCUUCCAAGCAAUCUAAUGCUCUUAGCUUAGUUUUUCCUUGGGGCUGGCCAGAUUGGAGCAAUCUCGAGAAUAAUCAGCCGAAAUUGCGAGGAUAAUCUGGUGCUUGACUGAAGAAAGAAAACUUCGAAUGACCCAUCCUUGUUUUCUUUGUAUUGUCUAUCUAGAUGUUUUGUUGUCCCUUUUUGUAUCACCUAGCUGCCCGGAUGUUUUGCGUUCUUGUCUCAGUUUGUAUUUUUCAUAUAUGCAUGCAGGCACAUUGUUUUAAAAUAUUCAUAAAAAUAUUUCUAAUGCUAUGCAAUUUCAUGAGGGAAGUUAUAAGAGUUACCUGGCUUGUACAAAGUUUAACAUGUUUGGAGUAUUCUUGCAAGAGCCAGAAAUAAAAUGAAAAACAUGAGCUUAAGACAGCCAUUUUUGCAUGUGUUGUUUGCAAAUAUUUUAAAAAGAACAAAUAUAACCAUUUUUUUUCAUAUCUUUCUUUUUAUAUUGUAAAAUAUAUUCAAACAACAACUAUUUCAAAGAAAAGAAGGCUUGGAUUACUGGCCAAAUGAUUGGAAACAUAACUUGGAGUAUUAGGAUUAGGAGUCAUUUAGUUAUUUUAAAGGAUAACCUAUACAUAUGUAUUGAGUUCUGUGAGUCAUUGCUUCUUACUGAAUCAGCAGUUAUACACACACACACAUGUAAGAUUGGUGGUUUUAGGACGGGCAUCAAGCUAUAGAAACCAUGCCAAAGCUGACAUUGGAGCCUGAUGUAACCCUGCAGCUUGCUGGAUCCUGUCAAACCACCCUAUCCAUACCAGCAUUAGAAAACAGAUGUAAAAUAAUAAUUGUGAUGAUGGUGGUGGUGGCAGCAGUGGCAGUGGUAGUGGAGCAUGCAUACAGAGUUUAUUCUAGAAGACAUGAAUGGCAUUCAUGCUAAUUCUACUUGUCUAUUAUUUCAAACAUAAUUCUGAAGCUGGAUAAUUCAUGUGGGACAUUAGUGGUGUAUGUGUGUGUGAAUCCAAAUUUUGUUCAAUAAACCAGAUUGUUGAUUAUAUCAGUUAAAAGAAAAACAUAGAAAGAAAAGGAAUCAAACUGGAAAUUUGAAAUUUACUAAAUAUUUAUAUUUAAUAUGAAAAAGAAGCAAUGAAUUCACUGUAAAAAUGUCUAAGAUAGUAAAAUUCAUUUCGGCAAGAAAUAAGGUUCUGAUCAUCUGUUCACUACUGUUAAAAUUAUUCAUCCAGAUUUUAAUUCACAAAAUUAUAUACAUCAUGUGUGUGUGUGUAUAUAUAUAUAUAUAUAUAUAUAUAUAUAUAUCUUGCUGAAUUGAGUACUUUUUUGUUGAUCCUACUUAUAACAGAACAGUGCACUAUCAUCAUCAUCUUCAUUUAGCUGUUAAAUGUUGUUAUACAUCCCUGGUCACAAUGCGCUUUGCAUCAUUUUAGCUUUCAAAUGAUGCCACCUCAUCGGCUAGGCAAGCAGGCCAACAUUUGGCAGCUAGUCUGUUGUAGAGUUAUCCAUUUACAACUGAGUGGAUUGGAGCAAUGUGAAAUGAAGUGUUUUGCUCAAGAAUGCAAUAUGCCACUUGGUCUGGGAAUUGAACCUAGGAUCUAGCAAUCGUGAGUGCAACAUCCUAACCACUAGGCCAUGUGCCUUCAUAUAUAUAUAUAUAUAUAUAUAUAUCAUCAUCAUCGUUUAACGUCCGUUCUCCAUGCUAGCAUGGGUUGGACGGUUCGACCGGGGAUCUGGGAAGCCAGAAGGCUGCACCAGGCUCCAGUCUUAUCUGGCAAUGUUUCUACAGCUGGAUGCCCUUCCUAACGCCAACCACUCCGUGAGUGUAGUGGGUGCUUUUUACGUGCCUUGUUGUAUAUAUACAUACUUACAUACAUACAUAUAUAUUGUUGUAAAUGUAAAUCAAUUCAAAAGAAGGCUUUUAUUCACACUUUGUUUUGCUUGCCAUCUAAUCUGUUAAUCAUGGCUGCCGAACAUUUAAGAUGCAUUAUUUUAUAUUAGGUAAAAACAGCAUCCAUCAUUGUCAUUCGACACUACGCUGUAUAUUUAUACUCAAUACAAUACAAAAUAUGAUAUCUAUAUUUUUAUCUACUAUUUUACUAUUAUAAAAAGGAAUUAAUGACAGAAUGUUAUAGUUCAUAACAUAUAUAUAUGUUGGUGCCAUGUUAAAAGCACUUAGUACUAACUGUAAAGUGAUUAACAUUAGGAAGGGCAUCCAGCUGUAGAAACCAAGCCAAAUCAGACUGGAACCUAGUGUAGCACUUCAGCUUGCCAGCUCUCAUCAAACUGUUCAACCCAUGCCAGCAUGGACAAUGGGCGUUAAAGGAUGAUGAUGAUAUAUACUGAGCUUAGUUUCUAUUUACCAAACUUACUUUUAAGUCACUGGUUGGCUUGAAACUGUGUGGCUGUAAAGAAAACUCAGCCACAGAGCCAUUCUUGCAUCUAUUCUAAACCACACAGUCGUGCCUGCUCCUAUAUUUUUCUUCAGUGUAAGAUUUAGUUACCAUACCCUGUUAAUCAGUUGUAGGUAUGAUGAAAUGUAACAUAGGUGUGGGUGUUUAUGCAGAUACAACAAGUAUUUGUGGUAUAAGGUAGGCAUAUUUUCAUACUUAGUUGUUGUUAUUCUCAUCUGUACUACAAUAACUUGCUAAUGUAUACUACAAUACUUCUUCCCCCAAAGUGUUUUUUCCUGCCAUUCUCAGAGGAUAUACACAUGUAUCAAAUAUCUUGUAUUCACUAUACAGCCAUGUAUUUAUGUUUCCAGAUAUCAGCCUGUUCCACUGCUCUACUUGUCAUUGUGCCAAUAUUCAACUUACUUAUCUAAAGCUGAAAUGGGAUAUUAACGAUACAAUAACUGGUUAGCUAUAUGGAUGAGUGCACACAUCUGAUAUCACUUUUACUGUUCCUAUACUUUGUUUACAUCACACUGUAAGUGUUAUUCAUGAAGUGUUGCUGUAGAAAUAUGUGGAAUUACCACUAAUCUAGUUCUUCAUAGUUACAACACAUUUAUAAUUAAAAAAGAUUGUUAGGCACAAGGAUAAGUUUAUUUAGCAAAAGCUUAGUUGCACGUGGUAUCAAAAUGGAAAUACAAAAGUAUUGCACUAAAAGUAGGACAUGAUAAGUUCAUAUAAAGCUUGAAGAAUGACUAUGGACACUGUAUAAGCUAUCCAAUUGAUGAAAUUGAUGCUGUUGAUGUUCCGUUUGGAUGCCUGUAAGUUGACUUCUGCAAGAAAAAUAGAGUCCGGGAAUAAAUUCCAGAGUGAUGCAGUUUUUGAAAGGAAUUAUUAGGGAAAAAACUGUUUAGUAAAGGAUCUGGGAAGUGGGAUGAGAGUAGGACAGAUUGGUGUGUUUGCUAAGUCUGGGUAGAGUGGUUACUUUUGCUAGCUAGGUCAGAGAGCUGAAGUCAUAGUGGUAAUUGAGUGAGGAAGCUGAGAGGAGAACCAUUGUAUCUGAAUUUGUAGUUGUAAUGUGUUGGUGAGCAAAUAAAUCUCUGCUAGUUAGUUGGAAUGGUCUUACUUUGGAAAGCUUUAUAUUUCUGUAUGCAACAACACUAUACAACAACAACAUUUUUCAGUGAUAUUUUUAGAGUACUGUUUGUUGUUGGUUUUAUAAUAUUAAUUUUCACUGUACAGUGUGGUGAUAUAUGUUGUAGCCAAAUCAACCAUACCAGUUUUACAUCAUAAUGACAACAUGAAUGGAAAAAGCAAUGAAUUUGUGUUAACUUGUUUUGUAACAUAAGAAAACCACUUUUGGAUUUGAUGUACAACAAUAUGCUGAUGAAGAUUAAGAUUAAAAGUUUGAGUUGGAUUGGUGAUACAUGAAUUUGAUCAGUACAUUGUUGUCAGUUAAUUUAAUUUAAUAGGAUAUAAUGAUGUUGACUUGUUAAAUAGCACUAAUAUAUAUAUAUAUCAUCAUCAUCAUCAUCAUCGUUUAACGUCCGCUUUCCAUGCUAGCAUGGGUUGGACGGUUCAACUGGGGUCUGGGAAGCCAGAAGGCUGCACCAGGCCAGUCAGUGUUUCUACAGCUGGAUGCCCUUCCUAACGCCAACCACUCCGUGAGUGUAGUGGGUGCUUUUUAUGUGCCACUGACACAGGUGCCAGACGAGGCUGGCGAACGGCCACGCUCGGAUGGUGUUUGGCUGUUUGCCAGCCUCGUCUGGCUCCUGUGUCGGUGGCACAUAAAAAGCACCCAUAUAUAUAUAUAAUGUAGAUUAUUGUUUUGUAAUUGAUUUAUUAACAAGUGCAUGCGUGGCUGUGUAGUUAAGAAUUUUGCACCCCAACCAUAUGGUUUCGGGUUGUCCCACAGCAUGGCACAUUGGGCAAGUGUCUUCUACUAUAGCCCUAGUCUUACCAAAGCCUUGCAAAUGGAUUGGUAAAUGGAAACUGAAAGAAGCUUGUUGUGUGUGUGUGUCUGUGUUGCUGCUUCCUUGUCUUGACAUCAUGUGAUAGUUGUAAAUGAGUGUCACUGUUAUGCAAGCAGUGUUCUUCAUUUCCAAUUUUCUAUGAAAACAUGUUUGGCCAUGGAGAAAUAUUACUUAACUGGGAAACAGGCAAGGACCUGUGACAAGAAGGGCAUCUAAUCAUAGAAAAUCUGCAUCAACAAACUUCUUUUGUUUUUAGAAGUGUUGAAUGUGUAUAUAUAUAUAUACACACAGACACACUCACACAUCCACACUUACGCGCAUACUCGCAGGCGCGCGCACACACGCGCUUGUGCCGGUUCGCGCACGCAUACGCGCUGCAUGCACCUCGCUCUUGGACCUGACGAGACCUCCCGCUCAUUCCUGGGACCGUCGCCUGUCGUUGGGUUCUCCCACGCCCGUCUCCGCAGGACCACUCUUCCAUCUUCCCCUCAGCUGGAGUCCUUUUUCCUUAACCCCCCCCUUUUUUGUUACACACACGCGCACACAUACACACACCCACAUUACUUAAAUAUAUACAUUACUCUUACACACAUUCAAAUCUACUCGCCAUUAAUACUACCACGACACUGGACACACACACACACUACUACUCAACACACACUGGCACGCUACAUACGCCCCCACCCCUUCCCUCCCUUCAUUUUCUUACUACUGACCACUGUCUGCUAUGCCUACUACUCUCGCCCUACCUCACACGCCUACACACAGACGCACACACUAACACACAUAUAUUUUUUGUUUUUUUAUCUUGCCUCACACACACAUACGCACACGCACACACUCACACAUCUGUUGCGUUACCAACCCUGUCUCCACUCUUUUGGCUUUAAAAACCUACUUUGCUCUUGUUAUCGUAAACUUCCGCCUUUCACCAUGUGUACUUCGUAAACACCAGUCGUUUUUUUCUCCAUCUCCUGUUGCCCGCUUUGGGAUCUUUCUUUCCUCUCUCUUCCUUCUUUAUGUUUCCGACGAAGAGCUCCGCUCGAAACGUCAUACCUUCCUGCUUCCAUAUUUCCUGAGCGCCUAUUAAUAAUAAUACUGUAAUUGUUCCACUGUUGUUGUAUUUUUGUUUUCCCGUUUGGAUUAAAAUUAUAUAUAUAUAUAUAUAUAUAUAUAUAUAUAUAUAUAUAUAUAUAUGAAGGCAGUCUGCUCUGAAACAAAGCUUGACCACUUCAAGCACAAAUAUAGCAUUAACUUCUUAAGCGAGAAAAGAUUUGACUUUUGAGCCCGGAAACUCUCUUAAAAAAAACUUUCCACAAAUAUUGCAAAUGUGUCUCAGUUCUGAAACUGUUAUUUCAUUGUACUUUUUGUGCAUGUUUAGAAGUCUCCAGAAGAUAUACACAUCUUUUGACAAAAAUGACACUGAAGAGCAUUUGCUUGCAUAAAAUGAUGGUAUUGGGGGUUAGUGUUGUUCUUUUAGACCAGAGAGAGGGGAGGGAUAUGUGUAUACUAUCAAAAUGUGUCUGUGUAAGCGUUGAGAAUAGAAGGAAGAGAUGGAGGAAAAUUUGAACGAAAGAAGAAAGUAGUAUAUAGAAGAGAAGAAAAGGCUGUAUGUGAAGAUUUGAAGUAAAGAGAAUGAGAACAAUUGAUGAAAGACAAAACAAAACAGAAGAAAAUGCAGCAAGACUUGCAAAAAAAGUUAUUUAAAGGAAUCAGAAAUAAUAAGCUCAGUCAUUUUUGAUGGGUACUAUGCUAAUAAAUAAAUAAGAACAGCCCAUUUGAAAGAUUAAGUUGUUCAAUGAUUUAUUUAUAGAAAUGGAAGGAAUGAUGGCUGAUAUCCUUGUUUUAGGUGAUGAUGGUAUUUAUUUCUAAGCAAGAAAUGCAUCAAUAAUAUUAUCUUAUAAUGACUUUGGUUUGACCUAAAUGUUAAAAUUAUGAAUUUUAUGUGUGUUGUACAAAAUCUUCAGUGUUCAGGAUAAUGUUUGUUAAAUUUGUUGUUUAGUCUCCAUAUCAACCCUGUUCUAGUAUGAAUAGAGAUGAGAUACAGUUGACAUUUGUCAGCCAAUGCAAUAACAAUAGAAGUGGAAAAAUUGAGGUAUUGCAUACAACAGGCCAGGAUUUAAAGAUUUUCUGCAAGAGAAAUUUUAUCAAUUUGAAAGGAAAAAAUACUUGUUCUUAAAAUUUCUAGAAUACUAAUAAACUAAAUUCUGAAAUAUCAAUUUAACAUUUAUAAUUUUUUUAGGAUCCUUGUUCUAUCAUAAAAGUUGAUAUCAAUUGUAUUAAGCUAAAUGUAAUCAUAACAUCUGAAACCUAAAAUAUUGUGCAGUAACUAAAGGAAAAGGCUCUUUAGGUUUACAAGAUUUUGGCAUCUUCAUUCAUGAAUUGUAAUUAACAAUAUAUAAGCAACUGAUAAUUGAUGACUGGAGCUGAUAAUGACAAAUUUGAGUAAGUUGGCAGAGUCAUUAGUGCAUUAGAUAGAAUGCCAUGUGAUAUUCAUUCUGGUACUCUGCAAAAUGAAUUCAAAUCCUAUCAAAGAUAACUUGACUUUUAGGCACAGGUGUGACUGUGUGGUAAGAAGCUUACUUCCCAACCACAUGGUUCUAGGUUCAGCCUCGCUUGAGUGAACCAGUCUUAUGAGUGGAUUUGGUAGAUGGAAACUGAAAGAAGCCCAUCAAAUAUAUAUAUGUGUGUGUGUAUGUGUCUUUGUCCCCCACUACCGCUUAACAAUUGGUGUGUUUACAUUGCUGUAUUAUAGUGGUUCAGCGAAAAGAACCAAUAGAAUAAGUACCAGGCUUAAAAAAAAAAAAAAGUAUUGUAGUCAAUUCAUUCAACUAAAACUUUUUCAAGGUGGUGCUCUAGCAUGGCCACAAACUGAAACAAGCAAAAGAUAAAAGAUAAUAAUUACACAUAAAAUAAGAUCUUUAAGGACAUUUUUGAGCUUAGAGUACUUGAUUUAUUUUUAUGCUUUAUUAAUUAUUAAUCAUUGUAACUAAUAUUUUGAAUUGUUAGUUGUUGCUACUACAGAUAUUAUUGGAUUAUAGUUUUAGAGAUCACUGAUCUUUAUAUAACAGAUUAUGAAUAAAAUGUUUCCUUUCAGGUAAAUAGGGUGUGUUUCAAAAAGUUUGAUAUCAUUUGAGGAGCCUAGGUUCAGUUUAAUACAAUAUAUAUCAACUUUUAUGAUAGAACUAGAAUCUUAAAAAAAAAAGUAUAAGUGUUAAAAACAUAUUUUAGAAUUUAGUUUAUUAGUAUUCUAGAAAUUUUAAGGAUUCAUCAUCAUCAUCAUCAUUUAGCGUCCGUUUUCCAUGCUAGCAUGGGUUGGACAGUUCAACUGGGGUCUGUGAAGCCAGAAGGCUGCAUUAGGCCCAGUCUGAUCUGGCAGUGUUUCUACGGCUGGAUGCCCUUCCUAACGCCAAGGAUGCCCUUCCUAACACCAAUUAAUUAUGUAUGCAAUUAAUUUAAGCUAGUGAAUAGUUAGAAUAAAUCAUGGAAAAUUAAACAUUGAAGAGCUGAUGAGCAUCACCUAAAACAUAUUCUGACCUGAAAACAGCAUGUGAAAUAUGUAUAGAGUAAAAUAUUGGAUUCAAACAAGGAUUGAGACAACUACCGUCACAGCAUAUUAUCAUUAAGCCUUAUUGGGUAUCUUAGACUAUCUAAGAUAGCAUGACUAUCUUACAACUCAAAAUUAACUUAGAACCAAAAAUUAUCUAAAAGCUCUCAAGAUUAAAAUUUCUCUUGUAGAAAAUCUUUAAAUCUUGAUCUUUUGAUAUCAUUUGAGAUGUAAAUAUCUAAGUAACUAUAUAAUCUAGGCAAACGAAACUAAACCGGUUUAAUGUUGUUCAGAAUAAGAUGUACUCAUCAAAAUUUGAAUGAGAAAUUCAAAAGUAUAUAUAUAAAAAGCGAUGAAUAGCUUUGCGGAAAUCACGGUACGCUUUGUUUUCUGACUUUAUAAUCAUCUCAUAAUAAUGACUUUUAUUACUACCUCAGUCAAUCUAAAUGUAUAUAUUUGUCUUUACCUGUCAUAAAAAGCCUUUUUUCAUUUACAAUGUGCAUUUUCGUUGAUUUUUCAUAUUUUACCCUUACAUUUCCACGUGUAUUUUAUAUUUUCUUUUUGUAACAUAUCUCUACUAUAUAUAUAUAUAUUCAAGUUUUAAUCACAUUAGCUUUAUUGCAAACAGGUUUUGUUGUAAGAUUCAUUCAUUCCACAUAAGGAAAAAGAUGACUUAAGAAAUGUAUGGUUGUAAAAUUAACCCUUUUGUUAAUAUCUUUCUGUUGAAAUGCACCACUUUCAUUUCAAGUAAUUUUGUUGUUAAUAAUCUGCACUUUGGAACAUAAAUUAACAGGAAAUUGUAAUGAAUGACUUUAAUUUAGAUCACUUAAUUUAAAACAGGAAGCUGGUAUCAUAGCACCAGAGGUGGUCUCAGGCAGGUUGGUUAAUUCAAAGUUACAUCUCAUUAAAGCUCUUUAGUUACGUUGCCAUGACACUUAUGUUUAAAGGUAUCUUAAUGAUACUUCUUUUUCCAGCUAAAUGGCAGCAAAAAAAAUGUAUUGAUUUAAUGAGAUUUAGCAUGUUAACAUCUCAAGAGUGUAAUAUAUUUUUUCAUCUUAAGGACUUAUUUUGUUAAAAAACACCAACAAAUAAUACCGUGGAAGGUCAUUAAUUUUUAGGGUCCUUUUAUGUGGAUAGCAAAAACCUUAAAGGUAAGCUGAAAAUAAUCAAGUUUCUAAUUUGAUUUUGAUUCCAAGUUGAAGGCUUUUCAUGUAACUGAAUUCUAUAAUGAGCUUGGAAUUAGUUAACACUUCAUACAUUCCCUAACCUCUGUGUUUCUGUAUAAUAAAUUGCCAGAAAUUCAUGAAAUCAGGACCAAAGUGUAAAGCCAAAGAAAAUAUUUUAUGGUAUCCAGUUUGAUGACAAUUUUUAAUUAAAAUUAAAAUCUUGCUAUUGUAACUUAGAAUGAUAAAAAAAAAAAACUAUCAAAAAAAUUCAUAGAGUAGUAAAAAUAGUUGUAUCUCAAACAAAACUGCUUUCUCUAGUUUCAGUGCAUCAGGUUAUGGGUUCAAAUCCUGCUGGAGUUAAUUUUGUCUUUUAUUUCUCUGUAAGUUAGUGACAUUGUGUCAAUAUGAUACCUCAGUUAUUUUGUGUUAGAAAAGUUUACUUAACAUUGUCCAUCUCAUUGGCAUUUUUCUAGUUUUAGCAGAAAUUCAUAAAAACCAUAAACUGUAAUGUAUAAGCCAAGACCGUUGAUUAAAGUAGUUACUGGAUAAUACAAAUUAAAAUGACUGAAAAUAGAGUGCUUUAGUCGUGUUAAAAGCUCUGAAAAGAUUUUCUCAGAUGUCAGAAAUAAUUUAAACAAAAAUAUUAUAGAAAAUAUUUGUGAUUAUUUUAAGACUUUUGCUUAUACUUCAGAACAAGAGCAAAACUAAUCUUGAGAGCUUUUGGAUAAAUUUUGGUUAUAAGUUAGUUGUGAGUUGUUAGUCAAUCAUUCUAGUAUGUAUCAAUAAAGCUUACUGAUAAUAUGUUGUAACAGUAGUGGUUUCAGACCUUCUUUGGAUUCAAUAUUUUACUCUUAUACAUAGUCUCUAUUGAUGAAAUAAAACAGAAGAUAACAAUGAAUUACUGAAUUGAUAUUUCACAUACUGUUUUCAGGUCAGAAUAUGUUUUAGGUGAUGCUCAUCAGCUCUUCAAUGUUUAAUUCUCCAUGACUUAAUCUAACUAUUCACUGACUUAAAUUAAGUGCAUACAUAAUGGCUAUAUAUCUAUAUAUUGGGGAAGGAAGGUUCCAUAGCAAGUAUUGACAAGGACACAAAUACAAGGAAGGUAAUUGGUCCAGGAGGAAUAGUAACUUAGAUGCUUAUAAUACCUGGUGAAGUAGGGUACAUGCUAGUUAUUCACAUUGCCAAUAUGGUAGUAACUCAUAUAACUAAUCAGGAGAAUGUCAUAUCCAGUGAUUGGUGUAUCAGUAUCAUUGUCAAAUGUUACAAGGGCAAAAGAAGUGCUCCAGAGAGAGGUGAUUCCAUAGAUAUCAGAUUGUUGGACCAGGUUAUGAAAGUUAUGGAAAGAAUUGGAACACAAUUAAUUUGGAAAAUAAUUCACCUUGAUGUCAUGCAGUUCAGCUUUGAGGCAGGAGUAAUUGAUGUCAUCUUCUUAGAGAUACAACUGAAGAAGUACUAAGAUACAAGCCACUAUAUCUAGUGACAUGAAGGGCUUCUACAAAGUUCCACACUCUGUUAUUUGGUGGUCAUUAAGGAAACUAAGACAGAUGAAUGGCUUGUGAGGGUUGUACAAGCCAUGUACAGAAAUACAGUCAGCAAGGUGAGUCAACAAUGACUUCAACAAGGAUUAAGGAUGUGAUAGGGUUUCAUAACCUUGGCCAUAACAGAGGAGUUUAAGAUUAGUUUUUCGUGGGAACUCCACUAUGUUGAUGACCUGAUUCUUAUAACUGAAUCUGAAGAUUUAGAGAAGAAAUUCCAUACAUAAAAGCAAAACCUAGAAUUAAGAGACCUCAAAAUAAACUUAGCAAUGACUAAGUUUUAGUAAAUCAAGAAGAAAUCAGGCUCUAAUUGCUAUCAGAGUAAUCAUUGUGUUCAAUAAGUAGCAAAGAGGUAAAAAUUCCAUAUGAUGUGCAAGAGGUGUCGUAUGAUCACAGGCUGGUGAUAAUGAAGUUAGAUUGUGUAUGUGGAAGAUUCACAGAAGUAAUUAGUAGUAAGAAUACAAGAAAAAUAAAUUCCUUUGAAUACCCAGAAAGCUCAUUAUAAAUAGUUGAUAGUUUUCUUUACCUAGGUAACCUAAAUAGCAGUGAAAGUGAGUGCUUCAAAAGUGUAAUAGUAAAAGAAUGGCAUGGAGAAAGUUCAGAAAGAUAUUACCCAUGUUGGUAGCAAAAGGUUUCUCUUUCAGAGUGAAGAGUGGAUUGUAUAGUACUUGUGUUUGAAGUGUGAUGCUGCUUGGUAGUGAGACAAUGAACCUUUUAUGCACAGAAUUUACAAACAUUACAAAAGAAAUGAAGCAAGCAUACUUUGCAUCCAGAAAAGUUUACCUGACUGAUUGGCAUUAAUCACUCACAGGCACUCUUCAUUCUCUAGUUCACAAACAAGCUGUCUCUUCUCUCUAACUGGCCUGAUGUUUAAUAAUGAUCCAUGGUCUUAAUAGUCUUUCUGACAAAUAUGUCUUUCCUAAUGGUGAGGCAUAAAAGAAAUGAAGUUUCAGAUUUACCUCUAUGAAAACUUAUCUUCAUACUAUGAUAUCUUGACCUUAAAUGAUACAUAUCAAAGGAAUCAUAAACUGUAGGUAGAUUAACUUUGCUUUUCUAUUAGUUAGUUAGUGGAAGUCAGAUAGAGCUCAUUAACAUUGUAGGCCCUCUUAGACAUACAAUUGAUGCAGUUGAUAUUCAUUUGGAAAAAUUGCUGAUUGAUGUCUGAGGAAAAAACAUAGAUGGAGAAUGAGUUUAAAAAAGCUGCAAUUUAUUAGUUAGGAAUAAAUGGGCAAACUAUUUAGUUCAGGAUAUAUCAGAGGAUGGUGGAGAAUAAUGCUGUAAAGGUAAUGAGAGCAGGAGAAAGGAUUGUCUUUGGUAGCCAGGAUAAAAGCCUUGGCAGCUUGUUACUUCUGAAAGCAAAGGCCAUAGUAGUAGUUGUAGAAGAGAUGGUGAGAAAAUACAAUUUGAGAGACAGUGGUGAAUACCAAUCAAUUAAAUAGACUUCUUUUGAAUGCAUGCAAUCUAGAAUUUUUGUGUGAAUAACACCAGCAUUGUCCCAUAUGUAUAUGAAAUAUCCCAAUAUGGGUCUCAUUAGAAUUAUGUUGAGAGUCUUUAAGGAAUACAAACUGGAGCAUAAAGCCUAGUUUUGGGAUGCAAUAUCAGAAAUGCUAUGCGGUCAACAUAAGAGAUUAUGAGUCCUGACAUUUUUAGUGAAUAUAAAUUGUUUCUACUCAUGUGUAAGGAGAUGGGGUUCAUAACUAUUGCCUUGAUAUGUGUAACAAUUGAUUCUUGGUUCUUUGUUGUCAUGUUCCUGUUGGAAGAUGUUUUCAAGUUCAUGGAAGAAGUGUAAAACUAGCAUAAAUUACAGAUUAUGUAUAGAUGAUGCUUGUGUGAAGAAGUUUAGAAAGAGUGAUGUCAAAUGCAUAGGGGAAGAUGGUGUGUUGUUAGACAUCAAAAUGGUCAUUAAUGCAGAAAAGGAAGUAUGGUGGUAUAACCAAAUGGUAGAGUAAACUAGAGAUGAUAGUUUAGGGUGGCGAGAGCCCUGUUAGGUAGAUGGUACAUCUGAAAAAUCUGGUUGAGGAAAUAGGGCAUAUAUGAAACUCUUAGUUGAAAAACUUAUUAAAAAGUUUUCAUGCCAAGCAAAGUUGAAAGAUUGGUUGAUGCCAAAUGAAAAGAAACAAUUGAAGUUUCAAAGAGUGAUAUCUCAUCAGUGCAGGUCAAAGAAGAGAAAGACUUUGGUAGCUUUGGUUUAAGGAAAUCAUGUUUGUAGUCACUGAGGUGGGAGUGACACCCAAGAUAGUUGUUUAAAACUGUUGAUAAGUUGGAAGUGACAGCAGCAAUAGGUUGAUAGCUGGCAUGGUCAAAGGGAUUGCACUUCUUGGGAAUGGGAUACAUUGUGUUGUAUUUAGAUAGAUCAGAAUAAAUCAUUGUAAAUAGAGAAAGAUUAAUGAGUUUGUUAAAAAAUAGUAAUAAUGUUUUAGAAUAAUAGAAAGCACUAUCCAGACCAGUUGAAUACUUAGUGGUGAGACAGAUGGACAGGUGAAUCAAAGUUUGGAAUCGGGUUUACUGUCUGUGCAGCAUAGAAUUGGAAGCAAAACAGGUUGCAGAUAUGGUGACUUUAUUAAAAGCUACUUAUACAACUGACCUGGUUGAAAAAUAGUAGAUAAUGAGGAUUCUGAAAAAUUGAGAGAAAACUACUUGGUAAGGGAUCAUAAAACUCUGCUGCAAUUUGGUAGAUAUAAUUUGAAGGUUGUGUGGUAUAUAUAAUCAUCCCUUGAUUUUCUGAUGAUUGUCCUGUUGGUUUUGUGAUGGGUAAUUUCUCUAGGUGAUGUAGAAAAAAUUGCAUAGUUCUAAGUGAAUUAUUUAAAUAUUUUAUGGCUGGAUAAAGGAUGUGGGGUGAUGUAAGUACGAAGAGGGUUUUGGGAUGAGGCAAAUUUUCUGUCAGUAGUAUUUGGUGAAGAAUUUAUCAGAAUUUGAACACUUCAGUUGACUUGAAGUAUCAGAGGAGUUUAUGGGGCUUUGACUGUUGUGCAGUAGAUACUAACAUGCAGAGGAGGUCAGGGUAGCAAAUAAUUUAUAUUUUGUGCUGAUAUGAGCAUUGUAGGACAUACAAGAGAACCAAAAGAAAUUGUAUGCAUCUUAGGAUGAUGACAUUAAGAAACAAGUGAAAUGAGGCAGAUGUCUUCAUGACAAAAUGUGAGACAGUCAGAAAGUAGAUGGUGAUUAGAAAAAUUGGGAGAGUGGUUGAAAUUAGAGAUGCAAAGAAGAGUAACUUUGAGUCAUUGAAAAUCUUUAUUGCUUAUAUUCAUGUAAGAGAAGUGAUUGGUGAUGGAGUUACUUCUAUAUAUGUACAGACAUUAUUGUUUUGAGUAAAGCUGAAAUAUAGAUUUGCUUGCAUUGCAGAAAUAGAUAACACAUACAUAAGAGAAUUGUAUUUCCUCAGAAAAUAAUAAAAUGUUGCUUGCAGGUUAGUAGAGGUCUUUUUUUCUGUAGAGAUGUGUAGAAUUUUCUCAAAUUGGCAUUUCAUAUGUUUUUAUUGUUUGUUUAUGAAGAAGCUGAAGAAGAUAAUAUAUAUCGUGAGUUGCCAGUAAUCAUUAUGUUGAUUCAUAUAAGAAACCCAGUUGUGGGUAGUGGCUCUAAGUAGGCCUCUCAAAAUCCUGUGCUAAUUGGGCAAGAAGAGGAUGUGGGAUUACAAUAGUAUGAAAUUAUCCAAGAGUUUAAGCUCCUAUUGAAUCUGGAAGCAUGAGAAAUCUAUGGGAAAUUUUUUUCAUCUGUACUUUCUGACAAACAGUGGCACUAUGUAACUAGUAUUUAUGCAGGAGUGGUUGAAAAUAGCACACUGAAAGAUGUAUCCUCAAAUUGAUAUCUGCACUGAAUGCAUAGAACAGCAUAUGAAUGUAUUUAAUAUAAGCUUUGCUUAUAGUUUGGAAAUGCAGUGUCAAAUUAGGAAAGUCAAGAGCUUUGUAAAGAAAAUAUAUGAGUGCAAAGAGAAUUUUAGAGUGAGCCAUCUCUGAAAAAAGAUCUGUGUACAUUGUUCUGUAUAGGGUUUAAAGUGUGUUAGCAGUAGAUGAAAAUAUUUUGAAAAAUGCAGCUGGAUGAAACUUUAAAUUUGAAAGAAAGUGGUUGUAAAUUCAGGAAGAAAGACUUAAAUUUAGUAAUGUUAAAGAUAAGGUUAUUAUACGGGAGAGCCAUAUAAUAACAUACAAAUUAAACUUACUGUUAAAUUUUGAUCUAUUUCAUGAGGUCAAAAUUUUAGUCACACAGCUGUGACCUGUUCACUGUCAAGUGCCACAGUAGAACUUAACAUGUCUUGAAAUAAAUUUAAAGUGAAUUUAGUAGCUUUGUGUUAUUAAUUGACUCUUAUAUGUUGUUCAAUCUCAACACAAGUAUCAGAUCAGUCACUUGUAAGACAUGUUGGAGACCCCCUUUGGUCAUGAAUGACCAUGGGAUUGCACCUAGAAAGUUACCCUCUAAGGCACAAGUCCAGGCAAAGUUGUUUGUGGAAGGCCAGCAGUCUCUCAUGCCUACCAGCCUCCCCUCUCUACACCACUGAUGUUAUCCAAGGGAAAGGCAAAGGCCGAUAUAGCUUGGCACCAGUGAUGUCGCAACUCAUUUCUACAGCUGAGUUAACUGGAGCAACGUGAAAGAAAGUGUCUUGCUCAAGAACACAACCCACAGCCCGGUCCAGGAAUUGAACUCACAGCCUCACGAUUGUAAGCUCGACACUAACCACUGAGCCAUGCACCAUCACAUGUAUAACUUUGAUUAAUAAGCCAGUAGUAUAACAGAUUUUUCCUGAAUUCCAGUAUUCAAAAACAGGCAUCAUCAAAUAUAUCACAAUGGGACGUGGUGCUGAAAAGUUCCUAUUUUGGGUAAAAGAAAAUAUAGGAGGAUCAGUUAAUUAUGAUUUUAUUCAACAUAUUCUCUCAGAUUCACACACUUAUUGCAGUAGUCCUUCAGUUUUUCUAAAACCUGCAAAAGAACUCAGAAGGUUGGGCUUCCAACCAGGUCUUUCAAGAUACCCUUAAAGCCAGGAACUUUUCAUCAUCCCCUCAUAAAACAUCAAAUUAGCUAAUUCAGUUUUAUAAAUGCCAAAAAUUGCUCAAAUCUAAAGACAUUUCUUGGCCUUUGAGAAAAAAUAAAGUUUCUUUAAUGCCUAGGGUUAUGCAGUUGGUUAAAUUAAAAUGACUGGUUACACUUCAAAAGUAUUUACAAUUUGUAUUUUCUUGUUUACAUUGUUUUAAAUAUCAAUGGCUCAAUUCAACUAACUGCAAAUAUUAAUGCUACAGGAAGUGUAAUGCAUCAUUAAUGAAAGCUGAUGUAAUGCCGAGUUCAAAUACUCCUAUAAGUAAAAAUAUGAUUUAAACUGGUAUUCCUGUCUUGAGAGAGUUAUGUAUUUGAAGUACUUGAUGCUGUGAAGGCUAGGAUAAACUACAAUUCACUUGGCCUUUAGCAGAAAAUAAUCUUUCUGGGAUAAAUAAGGUACAAAAGCAUCUGUAGUGAGAAAUCUCCUUCAACUGACAUGUCUUCUUAAUACAACAGACAUGCAGGAUGAUAACAUGUAUCUUUGUGAACCACAGAAAAUAUAGAUACUUUGUAAUAAUCUACAUUUUCUGGAUAGUGAACGUCGUAGAAGAGUUUUUCAACCCUAUAAUCAAAAGUAUUUCAGUCUUAAACAUUCUGUUUUUUUGUUGUCAGGUAUUGUCUGAGACUUUGUUAUUUAUCAAGUCCUUCCUACCUCUUUUAAAUAACAGCAUGCAACCACUUAGAGGUUCUCUUGUUGGCUGAACAUGUAAGAAUUUUUAUAGUUGAUAUUGGUCAAAACAUGGGAUCAUAAAAAAUGAAUAUGUUUAAUCAAUAUUGUAGUGGAUUUGUUAACUAAAAUUUGAAUUUAAAAGUUUACUCCUACUAGACAAUUUUCUUUUUUUGCUUUCACAGGUUUCUAUCCACUAUCUAUCGUAUGGGGUGGAAAUGUAUUACUGCUUGAGGAGAGAAAAAUAAAUUGUUUGAUAAUGAAUCCUUGAGUUAUAUGUGCUAUAAUGUAGAGGCAAGCCCUAGGUGAGCUGAAUCUUGUAAUUUGAUUUAAAUUCCUCACUGUAGCAGUUUAAUUUAUGUUGCUAAUUUUCUUAAUGAAGAUUAUAAACACUCAUCUUCUAUAAAUAUGCUGUGUUGUGCCUAUGAAUAAAAUUAAUAUUAAAUGAAAAAAAAGUUUCAAAUAAAAUAAAUUAUUUUAAAGUAAUUAAUAACUAAGGUGUAUAAUUUCACUUACUAUUUUU